AUUGAACGCUGGCGGCAGGCCUAACACAUGCAAGUCGAACGGUAACAGGAAGAAGCUUGCUUCUUUGCUGACGAGUGGCGGACGGGUGAGUAAUGUCUGGGAAACUGCCUGAUGGAGGGGGAUAACUACUGGAAACGGUAGCUAAUACCGCAUAACGUCGCAAGACCAAAGAGGGGGACCUUCGGGCCUCUUGCCAUCGGAUGUGCCCAGAUGGGAUUAGCUAGUAGGUGGGGUAACGGCUCACCUAGGCGACGAUCCCUAGCUGGUCUGAGAGGAUGACCAGCCACACUGGAACUGAGACACGGUCCAGACUCCUACGGGAGGCAGCAGUGGGGAAUAUUGCACAAUGGGCGCAAGCCUGAUGCAGCCAUGCCGCGUGUAUGAAGAAGGCCUUCGGGUUGUAAAGUACUUUCAGCGGGGAGGAAGGGAGCAAAGUUAAUACCUUUACUCAUUGACGUUACCCGCAGAAGAAGCACCGGCUAACUCCGUG
rnacentral:rRNA from 1 species